rnacentral:rRNA from 1 species
CUGUGAGACAGGUGCUGCAUGGCUGUCGUCAGCUCGUGUUGUGAAAUGUUGGGUUAAGUCCCGCAACGAGCGCAACCCUUAUCCUUUGUUGCCAGCGGUCCGGCCGGGAACUCAAAGGAGACUGCCAGUGAUAAACUGGAGGAAGGUGGGGAUGACGUCAAGUCAUCAUGGCCCUUACGACCAGGGCUACACACGUGCUACAAUGGCGCAUACAAAGAGAAGCGACCUCGCGAGAGCAAGCGGACCUCAUAAAGUGCGUCGUAGUCCGGAUUGGAGUCUGCAACUCGACUCCAUGAAGUCGGAAUCGCUAGUAAUCGUGGAUCAGAAUGCCACGGUGAAUACGUUCCCGGGCCUUGUACACACCGCCCGUCACACCAUGGGAGUGGGUUGCAAAAGAAGUAGGUAGCUUAACCUUCGGGAGGGCGCUUACCACUUUGUGAUUCAUGACUGGGGUGAAGUCGUAACAAGGUAACCGUAGGGGAACCUGCGGUUGGAUCAC